GCUCACUUCUCUUCCUCCACUUUCAUCCUUCGACCUAAAACGUCGCCCACCUCUUCUCCUCAGCGGUUUCCCCAGUGGAGAAGGCGUCGUCGUCUUUCCCUUGUACGAUUUUGAGGGACGGAUCUGGUCACCACUGGGGAGGGGGCGAGGAUCCAUGGCGUUCUCAGCGGAGGCAGCGACCAUGCCCUCCGAGACGGCCACUGCCGCGUUGUCGGCGGGCCGGGGAAGCCUUCUCCACAAGUUUUCAUUCCCGAUCUUCAAGACGUGGGGUAAACAGCGGAUCCUUCGCUGCAUGAGCGUGGACGGCAAGGGCGAGGCCGUCGGCGGCGGCUCGGGAGGUGCGAGACCGUCCGAGGUGGAUGGCGAGGACGAGGAGGGGAUCGAGGACGUGAGAGAGAAGCUUUUGGUUCACGUACGGGAGGCGGCGGACCGGAUGAAGCUGGUAGUCCCGCCGCUUCCGCCGUCGCCGAGGGUUGUGAAGACCGUGACGGAAGCGGAUCGGCAGGCGGAGGAGGACGCCGACGCGGAGCCCGAGCCUUCGUCGUCCCCUGCGUCGCGACCUUGGAAGCUGAGGACUAGGCGCCGGGGUUCUAGGGCUCCUUCGGGGUUCGAGCCGCAAACGAGCGCGUCUCCUGAGACGGCGGCGGAGAAGAGGCCGGUGCGGCUGAGGUCGGGGAGCACGGAACGGAAAGAGCGGCCCAAGUUCUCGAUCACCCUCACGAGGGAGGAGAUCGACGAGGACAUCUAUUCGGUGACGGGCCACAGGGCCCGCCGGCGGCCCCGUAAGCGUCACCGCGUCGUCCAGAAGCAGCUCGAUUUGCUGUUCCCUGGUUCAUGGCUGUCGGAGAUCACCCACGACACAUACAAGGUCCCCGAUUAAAGGCAACCUCACCUCCUGCGGUGUGACUCCUUCCCCUCUUCUUUCCGCCAUCGCCAUUGAUUCAUCUCCAAAGUCUCCCACCUCCAUCGGUUCCCCAAAAGCGUAGCAGAUGACACAGCUUUUGUGUGACGGGUUACACUGCUGCUGACACUUUUACGUGCCAAGAAGCGUAGCAGACAUCAGAAUCAACUGUUCCUCGUGCAAGGACGGGGGUAAGGUGGAGGAGCGAGGAAGGUUUCGUGAGUCGAGAAGAAGGAAGACGAGGGUUUAAUGAAGGGGAGCGGCGGUUGCCCGGUAGGUGGUUUCGCGGAGGUGACCAUGGCAUGGUCAGCGCGUGGACGUUGCCACCCGUCCCUUCCUCUGCGGUUCCUGUAUUUGCCUGAAUAAUACCACACACGAUUGGUAGAGCUCC